rnacentral:tRNA from 66 species
GCCCAGAUAGCUCAGUUGGUAGAGCAGCGGACUGAAAAUCCGCGUGUCCGUGGUUCGAAUCCGCGUCUGGGCACCA